rnacentral:rRNA from 1 species
GGAUGCGAUCAUACCAGCACUAAAGCACCGGAUCCCAUCAGAACUCCGUAGUUAAGCAUGCUUGGGCGAGAGUAGUACUAGGAUGGGUGACCUCCUGGGAAGUCCUCGUGUUGCAUUCC